rnacentral:pre_miRNA from 1 species
AUCAUCACUAGCUACUAAUCUCAACCGAUGAAUCCGAGUGUAAUAUAGUAAAGUCUCUCGGAUUCUCGAUUGGGGUUUUGUAGUUAGUGAUGAC